rnacentral:rRNA from 1 species
UACGUAGGGUGCGAGCGUUAAUCGGAAUUACUGGGCGUAAAGCGUGCGCAGGCGGCUUUGCAAGUCAGACGUGAAAUCCCCGGGCUUAACCUGGGAAUGGCGUUUGAAACUACGGAGCUGGAGUGUGGCAGAGGGGGGUAGAAUUCCACGUGUAGCAGUGAAAUGCGUAGAUAUGUGGAGGAAUACCGAUGGCGAAGGCAGCCCCCUGGGCCAACACUGACGCUCAUGCACGAAAGCGUGGGGAGCAAACAGGAUUAGAUACCCUGGUAGUCCACGCCCUAAACUAUGUCAACUAGUUGUUGGGGGAGUUAAAUCCCUUAGUAACGCAGCUAACGCGUGAAGUUGACCGCCUGGGGAGUACGGUCGCAAGAUUA